CAUGCCGCAACGGAGAUGCCACAACUAAGACCUGCUGCAGCCAAAAUAAAUAAAUAUUAAAAAAAGAAAAUUGAGCAAGUGAGGACUCUGUUUUAAUCCAUCUGUUUCUUCUUUUCCCCUUUCUUUCAUUUGCUGGUUCUGUGGUAACUGCAAAGAAGUUGAUUUAUUUCCAAUAAGUGUGGUGCCGUAGUAACCAAAAUCACACUCCCCUGAAGAUUGAUUUAUGGUUCCAUCUGCAUCCUAAAAUCACAUAUUUUUCAGUGAUGUUUGCGAAUCUUAUCUUCUGGAGCUACAAUUCCCAGAAGCACUAUGAAAUAUGCUUCUCAAUUCAUUCACUAUGAAAUAUGAUUCUCAGUUCAUUCACUAUGAAAUAUGAUUCUCAAUUCAUCUGAAUUCAUUUUUUUGUUUAUUUUAUUGAAAUAGAGUUGAGGUACAGUAUUAUGUUAGUUUGAGUAUAUUAAUUCAUUUUUUACUCUAUUUGAUCAAGGAAGAGUUGGCUGUAGGCAGUGUCAGCUUUAAAAGAAAGACAACGAGGGAAUUCCCUGGUGGCCUAAUGGUUAGGUUUCAGUGCUUUCACUGUGGAGGCCUGGGUUUUAUCUCUGGUCCAGCAUGCUGCACGGUGUGGCCAAAAUUUUUUUUAAAAGGCAGUAUAUUAACUUAAUUAGCAUAACAGAGACCUAAAGUCUAGGGGGGUUGGGAAAAGGUACCCUGGAAAAGAGGAGAUUCACACUCAUUUAGAUAUUUUUCCGUUUUCCCUCUUCGCAGGUGGGCUACCCAGUUAUUGAACCAUUCUAAGGUGGUCAGUAAGGGCCACACACAGGAUUUGUGGACAUUUGCUAAUGGAAAACUGCCUUUCCCAACCCAGGAUGCCAGUUUCCAUUUUUGGCAUCGAAUUAACAUGUUGAUUUAUUGUCAUUUGAGCCUGAAUUAUCUGCAUUUGACUGGUGCUGGUCUCUAGUGCUUUCUGUUCCUUGAAACCAUGAAUAAUGUAUAUACCUCACUCUCCUUGCAGGCUACUAAUGGGGAAUGCAUAUCAGCUGCCUGAGAAUCAAGAUUUGAAUUGAUUCCAACCCGUAUUAUAUGUACCCAGCCUGUUUAUCAAAAUCACUGCUUUACAGCACAACACUAUGUUUUCCUCAUUCUUCAAAAUUUGUUUCCAGCUUUAUUGAGAUCCCAACUGCAGGGUGGAAAGCCUUCAUCAAUCCUUGGGAAACCUGGGACUUCAUUUAUAGAAUGACCGCUAUGAAUAGCCAACCCUGGACGGUUGUUGGGCUGGUCCUUCGCUUUGAGUGGCUGGAAGAUGGCACUGCAGUGACAGCUGUCAGGCCCAGUAGGCCAUCUGUGAACUUGCACCUCAGAUUUGGAGAUAAUAGUUGUUAGGGGCUGAAUUGUGUCCCCCCCCCCAAUUAAUAUGUUGAAAUCCCAACCCCUAGUAUCUCAGAAUGUGACAAAUAGGAAAUUGGGCCUUCAAAGAAGUGAUGAAGUUAAAAUGAGGCCAUUAGGGUGGGCCCUAAUCCAGUCUGACUGGUGUCCUACAAGGAGGAAGAAAUCUGGACAUAGAAAGUAAAACAGGAGGGAAGGGGGCAGGGCACAACCUUUAAAAGAAUGAUAUAGCCAUAGGACAUGACAAAAACUGGUUAGAACUAACUAG